rnacentral:rRNA from 1 species
GUGAACAUACCUACUGUUGCUUCGGCGGGAUUGCCCCGGGCGCCUCGUGUGCCCCGGAUCAGGCGCCCGCCUAGGAAACUUAACUCUUGUUUUAUUUUGGAAUCUUCUGAGUAGUUUUUACAAAUAAAUAAAAACUUUCAACAACGGAUCUCUUGGUUCUGGCAUCGAUGAAGAACGCAGCGAAAUGCGAUAAGUAAUGUGAAUUGCAGAAUUCAGUGAAUCAUCGAAUCUUUGAACGCACAUUGCGCCCGCCAGUAUUCUGGCGGGCAUGCCUGUCUGAGCGUCAUUUCAACCCUCAUGCCCCUAGGGCGUGGUGUUGGGGAUCGGCCAAAGCCCGCGAGGGACGGCCGGCCCCUAAAUCUAGUGGCGGACCCGUCGUGGCCUCCUCUGCGAAGUAGUGAUAUUCCGCAUCGGAGAGCGACGAGCCCCUGCCGUUAAACCCCCAACUUUCCAAGGUUGACCUCAGAUCAGGUAGGAAUACCCGCUGAACUUAAGCAUAUCAAA